GUAGUCAUAUGCUUGUCUCAAAGAUUAAGCCAUGCAUGUCUAAGUAUAAACAAAUUUGUACUGUGAAACUGCGAAUGGCUCAUUAAAUCAGUUAUAGUUUAUUUGAUGAUAUCUUGCUACAUGGAUAACUGUGGUAAUUCUAGAGCUAAUACUUGCAAUCAAGCCCCGACUUCUGGAAGGGGUGUAUUUAUUAGAUAAAAAACCAACGCGGCUCGCCGCUCCCUUGGUGAUUCAUAAUAACUUCUCGAAUCGCAUGGCCUCGUGCCGGCGAUGCUUCAUUCAAAUAUCUGCCCUAUCAACUUUCGAUGGUAGGAUAGAGGCCUACCACGGUUUCAACGGGUAACGGGGAAU
rnacentral:rRNA from 1 species